AGUAAGCUUCAAAACACUGGACCUGGGCAGAUAUCAACCCUCUAAGAGUUGGGGAAGAGCUACAAGGUCACUGAGGUAAUGCAAAAGUUCCUGCCCUCAGCAAUGACGGGGAAUGGAGAAUGGCUAGAAGAUGGAGUGUCUUGAAAGGUUUAUGCCCUUAGAGGACAAUACAAGAUUCCUAUUAAUGAAACACUGAUGAUGAUGAUGAUGACUAUGAUGAUGAUGACGAUGACAAUGACGAUAAUGGUGAGGACAAUGACAAUGACAGUGAUGAUUAUGGGAAGAUGAUGACGACGACAAAACAAUACCACCACAUGAGUAAUUACAGAUUUUAGAAGUUCACAUUUAUUGUAUAAUUUUACCCUUACAACAAUUCAAUGAGGUAGAUAUUAUUUCCACUUUACAUGAAGAGACUGAGAAUUUGAGAGCAAACAUGUGCUAUUGAAAUGCACAUUCACUACAGUAAAUGUUAUCCCAAAGCAUACAUCCUGACUCCAAAGUAAUUUUGUAUACAAUAUAAAGCUUACAAUGG
ensembl:processed_transcript Gm20319 predicted gene, 20319